rnacentral:rRNA from 1 species
AUUGAACGCUGGCGGCAUGCCUUACACAUGCAAGUCGAACGGUAACGGGCCUUCGGGUGCCGACGAGUGGCGAACGGGUGAGUAAUGUAUCGGAACGUACCUUUCAGUGGGGGAUAACGUAGCGAAAGUUACGCUAAUACCGCAUAUUCUGUGAGCAGGAAAGCAGGGGAUCGCAAGACCUUGCGCUGAUUGAGCGGCCGAUAUCAGAUUAGCUAGUUGGUGAGGUAAAGGCUCACCAAGGCGACGAUCUGUAGCGGGUCUGAGAGGAUGAUCAGCCACGCUGGACCUGAGACGCGGCCCAGACUCGUACGGGGGGCAGCAGUGGGGAAUUUGGACAAUGGGGGCGACCCGGAUUCGGCCAUGCCGCGUGAGUGAAGAAGGCCUUCGGGUUGUAAAGCUCUUUCGGCCGGGAAGAAAUCGUAUCAGCUAAUACCUGGUGCGGAUGACGGUACCGGCAUAAGAAGCACCGGCUAACUACGUGCCAGCCGCCGCGGUAACAC